GUGCUUGCUUCAGCAGCACAUAUACUAAAAUUGUACUGAUACAGAGAAGAUUAGCAUGGCCCUUGCACAAGGAUGACAUGCAAAAAUCAAAAUGACAAUCGUCUUGGU